CCAAAUCUCAUGGUAAAAAUUAAUUAAUCUCUCGCCCCAAUAAUCACAGAGAGAAUUUUCUAAAAUAGCUAAAGCUUCCAAAUCUGAGAUUUCUACAUAGUUUUCUUGUUAUACACGUUUUAAUUCAAACAAAUGUAUAAAACUAGGAACUGUCAUACUAGGGGAUAUCUUAAAAGACUUGAAUUCUUUUAGCUUCUUCUCUUUUUCCCUUUAUAUAGCCCUCUCAUUUUGUAACAGAUUUGUAUCAUCCUGGGGACACCAUUUCGUAUGAUCUCAUGACCUCGAAAAUACAUCCUUUGACGACGUGCUCUUCCACCUUGUCUCUUUGUUCGACAUUCAGAACUCCCACUUAGAGUGAUUCAAGUUUUUCCCAUUUAGACAUGUUUGAAAUAGGAACCAAGAAAUAAUAAGAAUGGUGGAACUACUCAAUGUGACCUUUUAUGUCACAAUUUAUCAUAGAAGGCAAAAUUUAUUUAUAAAAAAUUGAGACUAAUUAAAUCAAAAAAAAAUAUCAUAAUAAUUUUAACCAAUUAUUUAAAUCAUAAACAUGUUAAAUAAAUAAUGAUCCAAGUGGUUACACAACUCCACUUUAAAAUAAGAUCAUGUUAAUGAUUUUGUUAAAAAAAACUCAAACAAAUCCUUUUUUUAUAAAAUUAUUGAAAUUCACCAAAAAAAUCAAUAAAAAUUUUAAACAGUAGAGUACUGUUUCAUCGCCUUUCCCCAAAAAAAUAUAAGGGCUAACUGUUUUUUUUUUUAUAGAUUUAUCAUUUCAUAAAAAAAAAAACUUAUCAAUCUUAUAAAUAUAUUAAAGAGAAGGAAUACUUUUAAUUAUAGAGGAAAGAGAAAAAUACUAUGAAUGUUUCCCACAAAAACAAAGUGCACGUUUCCAUUCUAACAAUUAUUAUCUCUUCCUCUUUAUUAAGAUCAUGAACACAAGUCCAGAGAAUUUUUAUACGAAAAAAAUAAAUCUUUCUUAUUUUCCUUUACACUAAAGAGCAUCUUCAGUUAACACCUUUUAACACAAUUUUCAUCAAAUAUUAGGAGAAAUAUAAGAGUACAGAUCCAAAAAAAAUUGAAGAAACAAAAAAAAUUACAGAUCUAUAUUUGGGUCCGUCGCGCAGUUGUAGCGCACUGAUUUCAAAUUAGAAAGCUGUAUAUUAGAUUCACAUCGGGUUCAAAAAUCCCGAUCUAUCUUCGAUUAUGAAUUCUUUGUAACAGGUAAGUUAUUGCUUCAUGAAUUUCUUACACUUAAAAUACAAGAAAUUAUCAUGCAAACAUGGUCUGGCUCUAAUGCCAUUGUUAGAUAAUGCGGAGUAAAAUUAAUGUACCUUGAUAUGUUGCAACAUAAGAAGUUGAUUUUGCUACCGAAAGAAUCUACCCUAGUCUGCUUUGAAUAUCUUGAAAUCAAAGUAUAAUAAUCAUGGACUAAUUAUCUUUUGGUGUUUUUGUAUAAUAAUCAAUUUGUUGUCUCUGUUUUUCAGUUGCCCAUUUUCUGAUGAAGAAGCAUUUGAAAUAUAUAAGGUAAGAGCAGUUUUCUUUGUAACUGUUCUCCAAAAGUUCAAAUAAGUAGGAUUCUUUCUUCUUAUUUUUUUCAAAAAAACUGAAAAAACAAAGACGGGUCGGGUCGGAUCAGUUCACAUGGGUGACUCAUGACCCAAAAUAUCCAACAGUAAUAUUUGUUACCAUUAUUUCUUUUCUUGUCUCCUAAUUAAAAAUCUUUUAUACAAAAAUAGUAAUUGAAGAUGUGGCCUGAUCUUAUACAAAAGGCUAAAUAUGGAGGCUUAGAUGUUAUUGAGACUUACAUGUUCUAGAACGGGC
rnacentral:lncRNA from 1 species